rnacentral:lncRNA from 1 species
UUAAAUAAUUUAAAUGAUAACAAAAGAGCGGUUGCUCUCUGAUCUAAUUGCAGACACAAUCUGCAGAACCGUCUUCUAUGGGAUUUGAACUUGUGAAGUGUGAGGUGGAGACCUGAAUGUAACAAAUUGGUGUUAAGUGAAUAAUUCCAAACAUAUAAAAUUUAGAUCAUCACACCGAACGCAAACAGAACAAUUAAAUAAACAACUGAAGGCAUACGCAAUCUAAUUAGACAAAUAAGUGAACUUUCCCAUGCCGAAAUCUGAAAGGCCAACAGAAAUAUCUCAUUACAGCACAGAAGACAAAACUUAGGACAAAACUUAAAACUAAUCAAACUUAGGUGAACCAAUUAUAGAGAACAUAACCCUUGUAACCAAUCGGGAAAAGAUGCUUUUAAAUCCCAGAAAAAAAAAUUAAGAGGAGUUUUUUAAAAAACCAUCAUUUCAAUUAUUUUCCAGUCUUACAUUUGGAUUAAACAGAAAAUAUAAGUAAAAAUGCCAACUUUCUAAAAAAACUACAACUAUUUUUACAAAUUUCCAUUACCCAAUGCUGAAAAAUGAGAAUCACGAAGCAAUGAAGAACGGAACACGCGAGAACCAAAAAGUUAAAAACAACACGUAACCAUUUCAAAGACCCAAAAUCCUGCAAGGACAAAAAAAUCCCAUAAAAUCAGUACAUCAGCACUCCCUGCAAAACCCCAAAAUCAGAAAAUUAUAAAAAGAACCCAAAAUCAGUGGCAUGGUCCUCGUUUCUCCAUCAUUCAGUAGCUAAUGACCUAAUGGAAAAGAACCCAAAACAUACAGCUUAAAAUAUGGAAAGUGCUUAUAAAAGCUCAUGAAUAACGUUCAAAGCCUGCAUAGAAAUGGUAUAGCGCAGAUAACAACAAACAAUAAAACUAUGCACAGUAUAACCUAAAUCCGAUAUGUUGCAUUCCCCACACACAGAUUGUUCAAAAUUAAUUUCGUCUCCGUCUUUUUUCAAAUCUGAUAAAAUCCCCAAAACACAAAAAAUAGCAGCUAACUAUUUUUUGAACUCUGUAAACAACGAUAUGCAUCUUAACCCAUUUAACAUAUUCAUAAAAUAACAUCAAACACAUUUAUGCAUGAGAUAAUAUAGAAGUGAAGUCUCACAACUUUCAUAAAAAAUUAUUACUUUGUUAGAGAAAGGCUUGAAAAAAUAUGUAAAUUACUCACCUCUAUUACAAAAAUGUUACAACAGUAGACAAAAAAGGCCAAAAAUACCAAAAGCCGCACCUCCUGAAAUAAAAAACAUAACCAAACGACACAUUCUCAGUAUCUAAACGAUAUCCAGAAAAAAAGAAAUGAACAGACGAAACCCAUGUAAAUAUACAGAACAAACCAAAAAAAAAAAAAAGAACUGAAGCCAGUAAGAAGAUCACAAAUCUGAUAAAGCAAAAGGUAACAUAAUCUAUAUCGAUUUAAUUAUCCAUCCAAAAAGACAUUUGAAUGAAGAACAUUUUUAAGGAUCCAAACAACCAUUAAACUAAACAAUUAAAAGUAAAAACAGCAAAGCAUUCAUUGAAGAAAUAUAUAUAUAUAUAUAUAUUAUAACGUAUUUUGUUCUUUAUACCUAAAAGAAAAACAUUGGCUUUCUUGUAUGCACUGAAGUAUGCAUGUGUCGGAAAUUUACAAUCUAUAGAGACUCAAUCUCAGACUCAAAAAGACAUCUAAAGGAAAAGUAAUAAGAAAAAUAAGUAGUGGUUUUACCUAUACUCCAUGUGUGGACUCCAAUUUUCAAUCACAAUUCAAAAUUCAAGAGGCCUAUAAAUCAACCACAUAGGAAAUGAUCAGUGGAAGAAAAAGAAAAACAACUGAAGCCAAAAUAGCAUCUAACAAAUCAUUUAGAACCAUCACAGAAAACAAUUUUUGCAUAUAAGUAAUUUAAAGGAAUACCAUCAGGUCAUGCAUAUAUACAACGUACCCAAUUAGAUAAGUAGCACAUCAACAAUUGAUGAUCAAAAAGUUAGUCAGCCUCAAUUGCUUGAAUCUAAUUAACUCAAAGAUAAUAAACAGUCCAUUUAAUGCACGGGCUGACUAUCAAUUUUAUAAAGCUAUAAUUCUGUGCAGUUCAAAAACCAAGUGGAAGAAUAGGCAAAAACUAUCUCAUCGCCUGUAAAUGUAAUUAACUAAAUAUUAAACUUCACAGCCACAAAUAAACCUAAAUUCCUCCUAAAACUAUCUCAUUUAAGCUUGAUUUUACUAUAAUCUAUAAGUGUGGUAAAAAAUGGGAGGCCAAACGAUUUGUUAACAAAAAAGGUAGACAUAAAAGUAAAAGGAACAGGGCAGACAUUAGUUGAGGAGAAGCUAAUGUCACCUUGAAUUGACGACAAACAGUUCUUAUCUUCUCGAAUUAACGAAGAUAAGUACCAUUUUUCUUUAAUUCAAGGUAAUAUAAAAAGAAAUUAUACCUGUACAGUGUUCAGAUGUAGCAAUCCUAUGCAAUCGGCCAAAUGAUGUGUGUCCUCUCAAAGAUCUGUAUAUCCAUUACAGACUAAUCUUCAGUCUUGCAGAAAAUGAUAUGUUGACUACAAUUUCCCAUACUACUAAAAAACACAAAUAAUUCUAUCUACAAACCAAAUAAUAUGUGCAACUUUAUGCUACAAUGGUAGAAUAAGAUGGUUGUACAGGACGACACAAAGAUUGAGACUUUUUUUUACUUCUAAAAUUCUACACACUUUCGAGCCCUAAAUUUUCCCGGAAACAAAAAAAAGUGAAAGAAGUCGUACCUGGUUUGAGAGAGUGGGACACCAUCGGCGAGUUUGGUGUAGCAGUGAUGGCGGAGAUCUCUGGUGAGAAAGCUAAUAAGAUGGACAAAAUCAUUGAACAAAAAAAACCUCGCUUUUUAAAAUUAAAGUCAACAAAAAUUUGAACAAAGAAAAGAGAACUCAAACCCGAAACAAAUAAGUCGGAGAACUCGCCAGGAAACCCAAAGUUUCUGCAGGAUUGGCGAUUUCCUGAAAACCAAGCUUUUGUAGGUUUAAAAUUUCUUCCCUAAGGCAACAGAUCCAACAUUCCCAACUUUAGCUAUUUCAGCUACAUAAUAGAAAGAAAAAAAAAUUUAUAUAAUUAACUAAUCUGAUUUAAGAUUAAUCGAAAAGCUUGGAAAUUUCAGCUUUAAAAUUACAUGUCAGGCUGCAAAUCUAAUAAAAAGCGUAGAAUUUUAAAAAUGCUGACCUUAAAUACAGAGGCCUUCGCAGGCUGCAAAGAAGCGUUAGAAACCCGAAAAACCGGAUCUCCUGAAACCAAAAACAAAACCAAAUUAACCAUCAUCACCCAUAAUUCGAAGCCACAAACAUAAUCCCCAAAAUUACAACCCAAAAAUUUAAACAAAAAAACCCAUUUAUAAAUCCAAAUUUACACUCCCAAGUGCAAGACUCUAAGCUCCAACUGUUCUUUCUCAACUUUAGCUAUUUCAGCAACAUAACAUAAAUAAAAAGGUCGUACCCAGUGCACAAGGCUCCCGCUUUACGCAGGGUCUGGGAGAGGUGAAUGUCGGCUAGCCUUACCCCCAUUUUAUGGAGAGGCUGCUCCCAAGUCUCGAACCCGAGACCUACCGCUCAUGGGCGAAGACACUUGCCAUCGCACCAAGUGCGACCUCUAGCAACAUAACAUAAAUAAAAAGAUCGUACCCAGUGCACAAGGCUCCCGCUUUACGCAGGGUCUGGGAGAGGUGAACGUCGGCUAGCCUUACCCCCAUUUUAUGAAGAGGCUGGAACAUAACAUAAAUAAAUAAACAAAAUUAAUUUAACUAUAAUUAACUAAUAUGAUUUAAGAUUAAUCAAAAAACUUGGAAAUCUGCUUGAAUCCAAUCUCAAAAUUGAAAACGAACACUUCACUUUUACAAAAGUUGUACAAAGCAAAAAAAAAAAAACAGACAAAUCAAAGUCUCACAAAGGGCCACAACGACAGCAAAAUUGCAACAGAAAGAGGAAAAAUGUUCAAUCAAACCAUUGGAUAACUCUUCUAAGGCAGCCAAAAAAAAACCCACAAAUUCAAAACCACAAAAAUCCAAUCUAAAACAUCGAUUCACAGACUGAGAUGCACAAAAUGAUAUAUUAACAAAUCCAAAACGAAAUACAAAAAUUAAGAACCAACAAGCAAAAAAAUACUGAUUAUCCCCUGCAUACGUGAGCACACGUUCAAAAAGCCUCUCAAAGGCUGAGAUUCAACUUUCAAACAUAAAGACUUUAAGCCACAAUUGUUCUUUCUUAACUUUAGCUACUUCAGUUACAUAAUCGGAAAAAAAAAAUUAUUUAAUUAUAGUUAACUAAUCUGGGUUAAGAUUAAUAAAAAAGCUUGGAAAUUUCAGAUCUAAAAUCACACCUCAGGCUGCAAGUAGAAUCAAAACCAUGGAAUUUCAAAAUCACUGACCUUAAACACACAGGUCUUCGCAGGCUUCAAAGAAAAGUCACAAACUCGAAAAACCCAAUCUCCUGAAAUCGAAAACAAAACCAAAUUAACCAUCAUCACCUAGAAUCCGAAGCUACAAAACAAAAUUCCCAAAAUCAAAACCAAAAAAUUUGAACAAAAAACUCAUUUAAUAUCCAAAUUUACACUCCCAAGCACAUAACAUUCAAAGCAGACAAUUACCCAAAUCAAAUCGACAGCAGGAGAUGCAAUCUUUUAUGGGCUUCAAAUUUUCUUCAAACCGAGACCAAAUUCGCUAGUUUUCAGCAAGAGAGCGUUGCCGUUUGUAACCCCCGAUGAAAAGAUCCAAACAAAUUUGACUAACAGUAGACAGAGAGAGAGAGAGAUAGAGAGAGAGAGGUGAAAAUUACUCGCUGGUGACGAAGCUAAUGAAUUCGGAGACGCAUUCCUGGACGGUGUUCGACUGAUCGGCACGAGUAGAGACACCAGAUCAGAAAGACAGAAAAAUUAGGGUUUGGGAGAUAAAGAAACUGGGGCAGAGAGAGAGGGAAAGAGAAGCAGAAAAGAGGAUAAUUUUAUGCAUUUUUUUUAGCCGCUUUGAAUUUUUUUUGGCCGACAGGCAUUUGCGUCCGAUUAUUUUUGUCGAAGCCGGUGACACCAAAACCGGCCUCCGGCUUUCGGACCAGGAUUGUCUGCCCCUUCAUUUUCCCUGCCAUGU